UUAUUUGACUUUGUUUUAUUUACUUCAUAAAACUCCAGGAAGCUAUUCAUUUCAUAUCCGGCGCCGACGCGAGUGGCAGCCAUUUCAGCAGCUGUGUGUGCCUUGCUCUUUUUUCGCUGUUUUCUCUUUAUUUUUGCUCUUUUUCUAAUCUGCGUGAUACUCUGUGUUAUUCUAUCCUAUGGAUAUGGAUUUUUUCACACCAAGGUGACAAGGUGAGGAGGCCGUAUCGUGGCUGCAGAGCCUGCGCGAAGCUAAAGGCUAAGCGUCUGGCGAAGAAGUGGCGAUUUAAGCCAGCACCUUCUGUGAUUAUGGGUAAUGUGAACUCACUACCGAAUAAGAUCGACGAACUUGCUGCGCUGAUGAAAAACAUCAAGACCUACAGAGAGUGCAGUCUGUUGUGCUUCUCCGGAACAUGGCUCACGUCUAGCAUGCUCGGAUGCUAACGUGGAGCUAGCCGGUUUCAGUACAGUCAGAGCGGACAGAGACACGAAAGCCCACUGGAAGCGGAAAGGAGGAGGACUCGCUAUAUAUGUAAACACAAGCUGGUGUAACCCUGGGCAUGUGAACAUCAAAAUCUCCAGCUGCUGCAGGGACAUCGAACUCUUGCUGCGUCCCUACUACCUGCACGCCAUUGUUGUCAUUGUUUGCAUUCCUCCACGUGCCGACGCGGAGGUAGCGAGCGACACCACCCACUGUUGCUAAACUACAAACACAGAACUCGGAGGCGCUUGUGUUAAUCUCUGGGGACUUCAACCAUGUGAUAUUGGACAAGACACUACCUGCUUUCUACCAGUAUGUGGACUGUAACACCAGGGGAAAUAGGACUAUUGACCUACUGUAUGCUAAUGUAACGGACGCAUACAGCGCUACCCCGCUGCUUGCACUGGGGAAAGCAGAUCACAACCUCAUUCUGCUGCAGCCUCACUACAAACCAAGAGUGUGGAAGCUAUCCACAACCACACGCUCAUUCAGGAAGUGGUCUCCUGAGGCAGAGCAGGCUCUGAGGGACUGUUUUGGAACCACAGACUAGGAUGCACUGCAGGGAUCACACAGUGAGAACCUCCAGGGGUCACCACUUCGUCCACGACAUCGUCCACGAUCGCAGAGACAUGGUCCAUGAUCGGAGAGACAUUGUUGAGGAUGAGGGAGACAUCGUCCUCGAUCAGAGACAUUGUCCACGAUCGCUGAGACCUUGUCAAAGAUGAGAGAGACGUUGUCCAUGGUCAGAGACAUUGUCCCAUGCUUCGUAGAGACCUUGCGAUAGAAUCGGCGGAGACGGGGGUCACCGAUUUGACGGCAUUGCCCGCGAUCAUGGAGACAUUGUCGAUGAUCACAGAGACGCCGUCUAUGAUCUCAGAGACAUCGUCCACGAUCGCAAAGACAGUGACCAUGAUCACAGAGACUUUGUCCAUAAUCUCAGAGACAUUGUCCGCGAUCACAGAGACGUAGUCCACGAUCAUAGAGUGUCUUCUACAAUGAAGAAGUUCUUUGAGACCAGGACAGAGGCCUCCAGGUGUCAUCACUUCGUCCACGACAUCGUCCACGAUCGCAGAGACAUGGUCCAUGAUCGGAGAGACAUUGUUGAGGAUGAGGGAGACAUCGUCCUCGAUCAGAGACAUUGUCCACGAUCGCAGAGACCUUGUCAAAGAUGAGAGAGACGUUGUCCAUGAUCAGAGACAUUGUCCCAUGCUUCGUAGAGACCUUGCGAUAGAAUCGGCGGAGACGGGGGUCACCGAUUUGACGGCAUUGCCCGCGAUCAUGGAGACAUUGUCGAUGAUCACAGAGAUGCCGUCUAUGAUCUCAGAGACAUCGUCCACGAUUGCAAAGACAGUGACCAUGAUCACAGAGACUUUGUCCAUAAUCUCAGAGACAUUGUACGCGAUCACAGAGACGUAGUCCACGAUCAUAGAGUGUCUUCUACAAUGAAGAAGUUCUUUGAGAACAGGACAGAGUUCUCCAGGUGUCACCACUUUGUCCACGACAUCGUCCACGAUCGCAGAGACAUGGUCCAUGAUCGGAGAGACAUUGUUGAGGAUGAGGGAGACAUCGUCCUCGAUCAGAGACAUUGUCCACGAUCGCAGAGACCUUGUCAAAGAUGAGAGAGACGUUGUCCAUGAUCAGAGACAUUGUCCCAUGCUUCGUAGAGACCUUGCGAUAGAAUCGGCGGAGACGGGGGUCACCGAUUUGACGGCAUUGCCCGCGAUCAUGGAGACAUUGUCGAUGAUCACAGAGACACCGUCUAUGAUCUCAGAGACAUCGUCCACGAUCGCAAAGACAUUGGCCAUGAUCACAGUGACUUUGUCCAUAAUCUCAGAGACAUUGUCCGCGAUCACAGAGACGUAGUCCAUGACCAUAGAGUGUCUUCAUACAAUGAAGAAGUUCUUUGAGACCAGGACAGGAGCCUCCAGGUAAUUCAAAACAGACAUAAAAAAUGUCAAAAAAUCAUGGUUGAGUUAUAGUAUCAAAAAUCAUAAGUCAUAAAACUGUGAUUGCAUGGUAAGACAUUAAAAUGUCUUAGUAUAAUGAGGGAUAAUAGCAUCUUAAUUAGUGAUAGACCGAUAUGGUUUUUUCAGGACCGAUACCGAUUAUUAAUAGUCAAGGAGGCCGAUAACUGAUAUUUGGAACAGAUAUUCAUUUGCAGUAAAAGUGAAAAUAUUGGCAUCAAAAUUUUGAAUAAUACAAACUCCAACACUUUGUUUAAAUGCCUUUAAGCAUAUGUUUAUUAAACAGCUUUUCAGAUUUUCAACAUUUUAAAGGUUUUUAUUAUCUUAGACAAUAGACAUUUUUGUUUUAAAAUUCUAACAAAAAGUGCUGGGAGCUCUCAGGCUCAGCAGCAUAGUUAUCUGAAAUUUUAAAUUAUAAAUAAAUAAAUCGUUUUAUUUACUUUAUAAAACAAAGUUAAAUAAAAUUUGCACAGAAAUGUCAAAAUCAAUUAGUAGUCCCAAUUGAGCAGCACCAGAUUGUGGUGCAAAAAGCAGAGUUGUUCAGCGUGUGUGAGCACUGUGCAUGCACAGCUUUCACUGCUGAUUAGCUCUGUGUGUAACCAAUCAGAUGGUGCUGUGGGCGGGACAAUGCUGGAGACAGAGUAGUGACUGCUGACAGAGAGGCGCGGCUGCAUCAGAGCCAAAAUAACCCAGUUUUAAAUUGAUCUUUUAUCGGCCGUCAGAUAAAGAGAAAAAAAAAAAAAAACGGCCGAUGCCGAUAUGUGUCAAAAUGCUGAAUAUCCACGCCGAUAGUCAGCCCGGCCGAUAAUUGGUCUAUCCCUAAUCUUAAUAUAGUAAGGCAUUAAAUAUUGUAGUAUAGUAAUGGAUAAAAAUGUCAAAAGAUGCCAUAGUAUAAUAAACUUUCAAAAAAUGUUGUAGUAUUGUAAGGUGUCAGAAAGAUUCAAAAAAGGUCACAGUAAAUUGAGGCAUAAACACACAUCAAAAAAUGUCAUAGUAUAAUAAGGCAUCAGAAAUUGUCAAAAAAUAUCAUAGUAUAGUAAAAUUUCAUAAUAAGGUGUCAAAAAAUUUCAGUGUAGUAUGGUGUCAAAAAUGGUCAUAGUGUCAUAGUGUAGUAAAGGGUCAAAAAAUGGUUAAAAAAAAAUUGUUAUGUAUAGUAAGCGUCAAAAAAAUGUGGAAAAAUGUCAUAAUAUAGUCAGGCAUCAAAAAUGUGAAAAAAAUUUAUAGUAUAAUAAGGCAUGAAAAAAAUGGUCAAAAAAUGUAAUAGUAUAGUAUGGUGUCAAAAAAUGUGAGAAAAUGUCAUAGUAUACUAAGGCAUGAAAAAACGUCAUAAUAUAGUAAGGCGUGAAAAAAUGUCAUGACAGAGUAUGGUGUCAAAAAAUGUGAGAAAAUGUCAUAGUAUAGUAAGGCGUGAAAAAAUGUCAUGAUAGAGUAUGGUGUCAAAAAAUGUGAGGAAAUGUCAUAGUAUAGUAAGGCGUGAAAAAAUGUCAUGAUAGAGUAUGGUGUCAAAAAAUGUGAGGAAAUGUCAUAGUAUAGUAAGGCAUGAAAAAAUGUCAUGAUAUAUUUAGGCAUCAAAAAAUGUGGAAAAAAGUCAUGGUAUAGUAAGGCAUGAAAAAAUUGUGGAAAAAAGUCAUAGUAUAGUAAGGUGUCAAAAAAUGUGAAAAAAAAGUCAUAGUAUAGUAAGGUGUCAAAAAAUGUAAAAAAAAAAAAAAAAAGUCAUAGUAUAGUAUGGCGUCAAAAACUGGCAAAAAAUGUCCUAAAAAGUAAGGUGUCAAGAAAUGUCAAAAUAUAGUAAGACAUGAAAAAUGGUCAAAAAAUGUUGGUAGUAUGGUGUCAAAAAAUGUGAGAAAAUGUCAUAGUAUAGUAAGGCGUGAAAAAAUGUCAUGAUAGAGUAUGGUGUCAAAAAAUGUGAAAAAAAAGUCAUAGUAUAGUAAGGUGUCAAAAAAUGUGAAAAAAAAGUCAUAGUAUAGUAAGGUGUAAAAAAAAUGUGAAAAAAAGUCAUAGUAUAGUAAGGUGUCAAAAAAUGUGAAAAAAAAAGUCAUAGUAUAGUAAGGUGUCAAAAAAUGUGAAAAAAUCUCAUGAUAUAGUAUGGUGUCAAAAAAGUGAGAAAAUGUCAUAGUAUAGUAAGGUGUCAAAAAAUGUGAAAAAAAAGUCAUAGUAUAGUAAGGUGUCAAAAAAUGUGAAAAAAAAGUCAUAGUAUAGUAAGGUGUCAAAAAAUGUGAAAAAAAAAGUCAUAGUAUAGUAAGGUGUCAAAAAAUGUGAAAAAAAGUCAUAGUAUAGUAAGGUGUCAAAAAAUGUGAGGAAAUGUCAUAGUAUAGUAAGGCGUGAAAAAAUGUCAUGAUAGAGUAUGGUGUCAAAAAAUGUGAAAAAAAGUCAUAGUAUAGUAAGGUGUCAAAAAAUGUGAAAAAAAAGUCAUAGUAUAGUAAGGUGUCAAAAAAUGAGGAAAUGUCAUAGUAUAGUAAGGCGUGAAAAAAUGUCAUGAUAGAGUAUGGUGUCAAAAAAUUGAGAAAAUGUCAUAGUAUAGUAAGGUGUCAAAAAAUGUGAAAAAAAGUCAUAGUAUAGUAAGGUGUCAAAAAAUGUGAGGAAAUGUCAUAGUAUAGUAAGGCAUGAAAAAAUGUCAUGAUAGAGUAUGGUGUCAAAAAAUGUGAGAAAAUGUCAUAGUAUAGUAAGGUGUCAAAAAAUGUGAAAAAAAGUCAUAGUAUAGUAAGGUGUCAAAAAAUGUGAAAAAAAGUCAUAGUAUAGUAAGGUGUCAAAAAAUGUGAAAAAAAGUCAUAGUAUAGUAAGGUGUCAAAAAAUGUGAAAAAAUCUCAUGAUAUAGUAUGGUGUCAAAAAAGUGAGAAAAUGUCAUAGUAUAGUAAGGUGUCAAAAAAUGUGAAAAAAAGUCAUAGUAUAGUAAGGUGUCAAAAAAUGUGAAAAAAAGUCAUAGUAUAGUAAGGUGUCAAAAAAUGAGGAAAUGUCAUAGUAUAGUAAGGCGUGAAAAAAUGUCAUGAUAGAGUAUGGUGUCAAAAAAUGUGAGAAAAUGUCAUAGUAUAGUAAGGUGUCAAAAAAUGUGAAAAAAAGUCAUAGUAUAGUAAGGUGUCAAAAAAUGUGAGAAAAUGUCAUGGUAUAGUAAGGCAUGAAAAAAUGUCAUGAUAUAUUUAGGCAUCAAAAAAUGUGAAAAAAAGUCAUAGUAUAGUAAGGUGUCAAAAAAUGUGAGGAAAUGUCAUAGUAUAGUAAGGCAUGAAAAAAUGUCAUGAUAGAGUAUGGUGUCAAAAAAUGUGAGAAAAUGUCAUAGUAUAGUAAGGCAUGAAAAAAUGUCAUGAUAUAUUUAGGCAUCAAAAAAUGUGGAAAAAAGUCAUGGUAUAGUAAGGCGUGAGAAACUUGUGAAAAAAUGUCAUGAUAGAGUAUGGUGUCAAAAAAUGUGAGAAAAUGUCAUAGUAUAGUAAGGCAUGAAAAAAUGUCAUGAUAUAUUUAGGCAUCAAAAAAUGUGGAAAAAAGUCAUGGUAUAGUAAGGCGUGAAAAACUUGUGAAAAAAUGUCAUGAUAGAGUAUGGCGUCAAAAAAAAAAAAAAAUAAAUAAAAAAAAGGUUAUAAUAUAGUUAGGCAUCAAAAAUGGUCAAAAAAUUGUAGUACGGUGUUAAAAACCAUCAUAAAAUGUCAUAUUAUUGUAUGGUGUCAAAAACGGUCAAAAAAAUGUCAUAGUAUGGCAUCAAAGACAGGCAAGAAAUGUCAUAGUAUAGUGUCAAAUGUCAAUAUAGUAUGUCAUAAAAAUAUUUUGGUUUUCUUGUCUCUGCAGGAGGAGAAGACGACAGCAGCUGAAGACCUGAAGUGGAUGAAAGAAAACAAAAGUGUUACAAAGCUGUUAAUUAGAUAAAAGACUCCCACCAUCUAACUGCUGUAAACAGUGCUAGUUUCCUGAUUUUCAAGUGAACACUGUUUUUCUCUACCACCUGUAAUGUAGUCAUGGGCACAUUUUCCAAAGACUUUAUAAAGUACCUUUGAGAACAUUCAACAACUUAUGAUACAACUGUUUAUUAACUGUAUCACAAAGAUGCUUCAUAGACGUGUUUAUCUUUGGAAAAUGUGCAACACAACUACAUUAACCCUAACUCUAACCAGCUCUAACAGUUGUUUUCUUGUGGUCAAAUAUCUGUCAUUAUCUUGUCUGGAAUAAAAUUGUCUAAAAAAGUGUCUUUAUAAACUUUUGAGUUGCAUUUCUCUAUUUUCUAACUGAAGUUAUAAAAAUCAUUUUAUUCCAUUUUUAAUUUUCAGACCUAUUUUACUUAUUUAAACUUUUUGAAAAUAUAUUUCUUUAGGUUUUAUAUUUGACUUUUAAAAGGUUUUACACUCAUUGUUCAGACAUAUAUUGCUAUUUGUUCCAAACAAGAGGUUCCUCAGUGUCAAACUGCAGCUGAGAUAACUGAGAUAAUGACUGAGUCAGACUGAAAAGAAUAAACUAACACUGACCUUCUGGAAAUGUC